rnacentral:rRNA from 1 species
UCAGGAUGAACGCUAGCUACAGGCUUAACACAUGCAAGUCGAGGGGCAGCAUGAUCUAAGCUUGCUUAGAUUGAUGGCGACCGGCGCACGGGUGAGUAACGCGUAUCCAACCUUCCCUAUAGUAGAGGAUAGCCCGGCGAAAGUCGGAUUAAUACUCUAUGUUUUCCAAUGCAGACAUCUAAGUUGGAACAAAGGUUCACCGCUAUAGGAUGGGGAUGCGUCUGAUUAGAUAGUAGGCGGGGUAACGGCCCACCUAGUCGACGAUCAGUAGGGGUUCUGAGAGGAAGGUCCCCCACAUUGGAACUGAGACACGGUCCAAACUCCUACGGGAGGCAGCAGUGAGGAAUAUUGGUCAAUGGGCGAGAGCCUGAACCAGCCAAAAGUAGCGUGCAGGAUGACGGCCCUAUGGGUUGUAAACUGCUUUUAUCGGGGGAUAAAGUGAGGGACGUGUCCCUUAUUGUAGGUACCCGAUGAAUAAGGACCGGCUAAUUCCGUGCCAGCCGCGGC